rnacentral:rRNA from 1 species
CGGCGGACGGGUGAGUAACGCGUGGGUAACCUACCCUGUACACACGGAUAACAUACCGAAAGGUAUGCUAAUACGGGAUAAUAUAUUUGAGAGGCAUCUCUUGAAUAUCAAAGGUGAGCCAGUACAGGAUGGACCCGCGUCUGAUUAGCUAGUUGGUAAGGUAACGGCUUACCAAGGCGACGAUCAGUAGCCGACCUGAGAGGGUGAUCGACCACAUUGGAACUGAGACACGGUCCAA